rnacentral:ncRNA from 1 species
GGCGACGGCCGCGACUGGCGAGGGUGGGAACGACCACCGGGGAGCGGCCGGAUCAACCUGCUGGUGCGUCGACCGCCUGGGCGCCUGGG